GAUGAACGCUGGCGGCGUGCCUAAUACAUGCAAGUCGAGCGAACAGAUGAGGAGCUUGCUCCUCUGACGUUAGCGGCGGACGGGUGAGUAACACGUGGAUAACCUACCUAUAAGACUGGGAUAACUUCGGGAAACCGGAGCUAAUACCGGAUAAUAUAUUGAACCGCAUGGUUCAAUAGUGAAAGACGGUUUUGCUGUCUCUUAUAGAUGGAUCCGUGCCGCAUUAGCUAGUUGGUAAGGUAACGGCUUACCAAGGCAACGAUGCGUAGCCGACCUGAGAGGGUGAUCGGCCACACUGGAACUUAGACACCGUCCAGACUCCUACGGGAGGCAGCAGUAGGGAAUCUUCCGCAAUGGGCGAAAACCUUACGGAACAACGCCGCGUGAGUGAUGAAGGUCUUCGGAUCGUAAAACUCUGUUAUUAGGGAAGAACAAAUGUGUAAUUAACUAUGCACGUCUUGACGGUACCUAAUCAGAAAGCCACGGCUAACUACGUG
rnacentral:rRNA from 1 species